UACGGAGGGGGCUAGCGUUGUUCGGAAUUACUGGGCGUAAAGCGCACGUAGGCGGCUAUCUAAGUCAGGGGUGAAAGCCCGGGGCUCAACCCCGGAAUUGCCCUUGAGACUGGAUAGCUAGAAUCUGGGAGAGGUGAGUGGAAUUCCGAGUGUAGAGGUGAAAUUCGUAGAUAUUCGGAAGAACACCAGUGGCGAAGGCGGCUCACUGGACCAGAAUUGACGCUGAGGUGCGAAAGCGUGGGGAGCAAACAGG
rnacentral:rRNA from 1 species